rnacentral:rRNA from 1 species
ACUCCUGCGGGAGGCAGCAGUGGGGAAUAUUGCACAAUGGGCGCAAGCCUGAUGCAGCCAUGCCGCGUGUAUGAAGAAGGCCUUCGGGUUGUAAAGUACUUUCAGCGGGGAGGAAGGCGAUAAGGUUAAUAACCUUGUCGAUUGACGUUACCCGCAGAAGAAGCACCGGCUAACUCCGUGCCAGCAGCCGCGGUAAUACGGAGGGUGCAAGCGUUAAUCGGAAUUACUGGGCGUAAAGCGCACGCAGGCGGUCUGUCAAGUCGGAUGUGAAAUCCCCGGGCUCAACCUGGGAACUGCAUUCGAAACUGGCAGGCUAGAGUCUUGUAGAGGGGGGUAGAAUUCCAGGUGUAGCGGUGAAAUGCGUAGAGAUCUGGAGGAAUACCGGUGGCGAAGGCGGCCCCCUGGACAAAGACUGACGCUCAGGUGCGAAAGCGUGGGGAGCAAACAGGAUUAGAAACCCGGGUAGUCCCA